AGGACCCAGAGCCUUUGCCGCCAUCUUUCGUUCGGGCAACGUCAAAUUAGGAUACACGUGAAAAAGGUAAAAGCGAAACAGAGACAUAGAGACAAUGAAUUUAUACUAAAUGCCUCUGAACUCUUAUUUAGUACAGAUAAGUUUCUCCCUGGCCUUGUCAGUCUGACUGUAUAGCCUCUUCCGCCAGAAGGGAAAGGAGGCUCAUGAUGUGUCACGUGACCUGAACCCCGCCGCGCCCCGCCCCGCCUCUCCUCUCCUUUGUCGUAGCUGUGAUAUUCGGGCGCUGCGAGAUGACGUCAGUGUCUCGUGCCAACUGGUUUCUCGGGUGGAAAGAUAAGGAGAAAACUAAAUGCGCUGGCUUUCAGAAGUUGUCCACUCUGGUUUGCAGAUGUUGCCUUCUCAUAGUGAAACUUACAUGGUUGCAGCAAGACCCCCUGCUGGGUUUCUACAACCAAAGUCAAGAGGACCAGUUGAAUAAAUAAUCCAGUUAAUUACAUCAAGACACCUGAUAGAUUCACAAAUAUUCCUGGAUAACUCAGGUUUUUUGUGAAUUUUUAGAAUCAAUUCAUCAAGCUCUACAAACAGAGGCUGCUGGGAUUCUAAUCUGUAAGCAUUGAAAAAACCUUUCCCCUCUUUUCCCCUUCUCUCUGCAUCAGUUACGACCCAAACUUUCUAUAAAAUUACCAGUGUUAUAAUAUGCUGUGAGUACCAUCUGUCUAGUCCGUAGAUGAAAUUUUAGAAAUGGGCUUCUUUAUAGGAUAACUUUUUAAAUUUUUUCUUCCACUGUAAACUGUGCUACUUAAGAUUUGUUAAUUAACAUCUUUAAGCAUAAGUAUCUUAACCUGUUGAUGAUUUUCUUUCUAUGUGAAGUGGGAUUGUUGAAUCAAAGUUUAUAUAAAUUUUAAAUUUUAAUUUAAAUUCUAAUUUAAUUUUAAAAUUAAAAUUCUGAAUAAAUAAAACUUUAUUUAGAAUGCAAAACUUCUAAAUAAAAUAUUAGCAAACAGAAUACUAUAAUGCCUCCAAAGAAUAAUACAUCAUAUCUAAGUAGAACUCAUCACAGGGUUGCAAGGCUAUUUCAGUAUCAGAAAUUUAUGAGUUUAAUUCAUUACAUUUGCCGAUUAAAAGAGAAAGCCAUAUAAUUAUACAAUAGAUACUAAAAAGCCUUGAAUAAAAGAUAGCAGUUAUUCAUAAACAUUCUAAGUACAAUAAGAGUAGCAGAUAUGCUUAAAUAAGAUAAAGGCUAUCAGAAAUAAAUAGCAAAUAUUAUUCUAAAUGAUGAAACAUUAAAGACAUUUCUGUUAUAUAAUUAGAAAGAGAAGAGAGACGACCAGUACUUUAUUAUUAUUCAGUGUUAUUUUGGAAGUUCUCUAAAAUGCAAUAGGAAAAAAGUGAAAUAACACCUAAAAUAGUGGAAAAGAAAACAAAGUGAUUUUUCUUUUUCUUUCUUUUCUUGUCUAUGAUAUCUUAGUAUCCUUAGAAAUUGUUACACACUGAAUUGUGUGUCUCCGCCUGCUCCUACUCCCCUACCCCCGCAAUCAUAUGUUGACAUCCUAACCCCCAAUGUGACCAUAUUUGGAGAUAGAGCCUUUAAAGAGGUAAUUAAGGUGAAAAUAAGGUUGUAAGCUGGGACCCUAAUCCAAUAUGACUGAUGUCCUUGUAAGAAGAGGAGAUUAGGACGUAGACAACACAGAUGACCAUGUGAAGAUGCAGUGAGAAAGCUUGGUUCGCUUCUGCAAACCAAGGAGAGAGGCUUUAUGAGGAAUCAACCCUGGUGACACCUUAAUCUUGGACUUCUAGCCUCUAGAUCUGUGAGAAAAUAAAUUUCUGUAGUUUAAGCCACCUGAUCUGUGAUGGUUUGUUAUGGCAGUUCUAAAAAACUGAUAUAGAAACCCAUGAUAUACUCAUUCUAGUAAAAAUCUGUAAGUUUUAAUAAGAGAAUUUGAUUAAAUAGAAGACAGUUAAACAUGAACCAAAAUUUUUCUCUAUAUUAUGUGUAACCAUCUGUAAAUGGAAAUCAGAAAAAAAGUCAGAAGUGGAAUUAACUAAAUGGCAAAGAUGAGAUUUUUAUAUUUUGCUCUUUACUUGGGUAAACACUGAUUGUCAUUUCACUUAUUUAUGACUAUCUUAAAGGGAAAUUCUUUGGCUUCAAUACAAAAACACUUAGCUUUAUACCACCUUCUAUUUAUUACUGCCUGACGAUAAUUAGGCAUGUAGAUAAUUGUUUAUUUAGCUCCUUAGAAGGAAAAGCUUAAAUAUUGGGAAUAUUAAUUGUCAAGUAGUUAUUUAUUCAAGUUAUAAAUUUAAUAAAUGAAGAAAUAUUGAAUGUUAGCACACAAUUAUUGCAUAAUACCUUUUUUCAUUUCACUAAAUUUCAACAAAAAUGCUUUAUAAAACUCAAUCUGAAAGUAAAUAAUUUAUAUUAUAGUCUAAUAAUCCAAUACACACAUAAUAGCUUUUUCAAGUCAUUUUUACCAAAAAUUAAAUUCAUAUUGUAAUACUCCUCUUUAAGAUUAAUCUCAAAUUUGGGUUCUCUAUUUAAUGGCUAUUUGAGGUAGGAAAGAUAUAUUUGACAUGUCAUUUUACAACUUUAUUCAGGAGAUAGAAUACAAUUUCAUUUCAAGUUUUCUCAUUCUUUUCUUCUGAAAUUGCUACCCAAUCUUUUCUAUAAAUAGAAGAAGGUGUAAGAUACCCCAACUAUUAUUUUUAACAUUAUCUAUCUAUGUUUCCAUCUUUUUUUGUGAUGCUUUCAUGAUUUUAGGUAAAAUGUUGUAGAAUUAUUACUUUAUUUUUCACAGAAUUGAUAAUACUAUUUAUAAACAUUUAAGCAAUCCAGAAAUGUACAAGAGAACAAAAUACUUUCCAUGUCCCACCACCAGAAACAAAUGUCAAUAUAAUAAUAAAAUGACUUUUUAGUCAUUGCUGUUUGCAUACAUACAGAUAGAAAUAUAGCCAUAGAUGGCUAAAACAGUAGAUUAAAAUUGCAUCUAAUUAUACAUAAUAUUUUAAAUUAAAAUAUGUUUAAGUUUACUUGAAGUUAAUAAAAGAAAAAGAAGCUAACACGAAGCUUACAGAAUUUUCAACCUUCUGAUAGAUAUUUCUUCAUCAGGGAUAGUCAUUGCUAAAGAGCCUUUUGAGUUUAAGAAGAACGAUAAGAAACAUUAAGAAGUUUUCUUAAAGUUCAUGUUUCAAUUCUGCUGUGAAAGAUGAGGAAAUGAGCACUCUUCCUUCCUCCUGCCCUUUCCUUAGUUCUGUUUUUAUUCAGUGUAUUAUAAUAUUUACUUUCCAAGUUUUAUAAUGUUGACAUUCAGUCCUAUAGAUAUAAUUCUCAGAGUUUUUUAGUCUUGGUUCUACAUUUAAAUAGAUUUCAUUUUCUCUACCAGUCUUUUUUACCACAACAUCUCCAUUCCUCAGUUUCUGGUUUUCAGUCACAUUUUUGAUGGCUGAAUUUCAUGGUCAACUAAUUUUCGACAAAGGUGCUGAAAAUACACAAUAGAGAAAGACAAUCUCUUCAAUAAAUGGUGCUGGGAAAACUGGAUAGCCACAUGCAAAAGAAU